rnacentral:rRNA from 1 species
CCUACGGGAGGCAGCAGUAGGGAAUAUUGCUCAAUGGGGGAAACCCUGAAGCAGCAACGCCGCGUGGAGGAUGAAGGUUUUCGGAUUGUAAACCCCUUUUGUUAGAGAAGAUAAUGACGGUAUCUAACGAAUAAGCACCGGCUAACUACGUGCCAGCAGCCGCGGUAAUACGGAGGGUGCAAGCGUUAGUCGGAAUCACUGGGCGUAAAGAGCGCGUAGGCGGGAUAGCAAGUCAGAUGUGAAAUCCUAUGGCUUAACCAUAGAACUGCAUUUGAAACUGUUAGUCUAGAGUAUGGGAGAGGUAGGUGGAAUUCUUGGUGUAGGGGUGAAAUGCGUAGAGAUCAAGAGGAAUACUCAUUGCGAAGGCGACCUGCUAGAACAUAACUGACGCUGAUGCGCGAAAGCGUGGGGAGCAAACAGGAUUAGAUACCCUUGUAGUC